rnacentral:rRNA from 1 species
GACGUAGGGCGCGAGCGUUGUCCGGAUUUAUUGGGCGUAAAGAGCUCGUAGGCGGCUUGUCGCGUCGACUGUGAAAGCCCGGGGCUCAACCCCGGAGGGUCGGCUGAUACUGCAGGACUAGAGUACGGAAGAGGUAGCUGGAAUUCCCGGUGUAGCGGUGAAAUGCGUAGAUAUUGGGAGGAACACCAGUGGCGAAGGCGGCUCACUGGACCGGUACUGACGCUGAUGCGCGAAAGCGUGGGGAGCAAACGGG